rnacentral:rRNA from 1 species
AACGAACGCUGGCGGCAGGCCUAACACAUGCAAGUCGAGCGCCCUUUUGGGGGAGCGGCGGACGGGUGAGUAACGCGUGGGAAUAUGCCCUUCUCUACGGAAUAGCCUCGGGAAACUGAGAGUAAUACCGUAUACGCCCUGUGGGGGAAAGAUUUAUCGGGGAAGGAUUAGCCCGCGUUGGAUUAGGUAGUUGGUGGGGUAAUGGCCUACCAAGCCGACGAUCCAUAGCUGGUUUGAGAGGAUGAUCAGCCACACUGGGACUGAGACACGGCCCAGACUCCUACGGGAGGCAGCAGUGGGGAAUCUUAGACAAUGGGGGCAACCCUGAUCUAGCCAUGCCGCGUGAGUGAUGAAGGCCUUAGGGUUGUAAAGCUCUUUCAGCUGGGAAGAUAAUGACGGUACCAGCAGAAGAAGCCCCGGCUAACUCCGUG